AGCGCGGGGCAACCUGGCGGCGAGUGGCGAACGGGUGAGUAAUAUAUCGGAACGUACCCUGGAGUGGGGGAUAACGUAGCGAAAGUUACGCUAAUACCGCAUACGAUCUAAGGAUGAAAGUGGGGGAUCGCAAGACCUCAUGCUCCUGGAGCGGCCGAUAUCUGAUUAGCUAGUUGGCGGGGUAAAAGCCCACCAAGGCAACGAUCAGUAGCUGGUCUGAGAGGACGACCAGCCACACUGGAACUGAGACACGGUCCAGACUCCUACGGGAGGCAGCAGUGGGGAAUUUUGGACAAUGGGCGCAAGCCUGAUCCAGCAAUGCCGCGUGAGUGAAGAAGGCCUUCGGGUUGUAAAGCUCUUUUGUCAGGGAAGAAACGGUGGGGGCUAAUAUCUCCCGCUAAUGACGGUACCUGAAGAAUAAGCACCGGCUAACUACGUGCCAGCAGCCGCGGUAAUACGUAGGGUGCAAGCGUUAAUCGGAAUUACUGGGCGUAAAGCGUGCGCAGGCGGUUUUGUAAGUCUGUCGUGAAAUCCCCGGGCUCAACCUGGGAAUUGCGAUGGAGACUGCAAGGCUAGAGUUUGGCAGAGGGGGGNAGAAUUCCACGUGUAGCAGUGAAAUGCGUANAUAUGUGGAGGAACACCGAUGGCGAAGGCAGCCCCCUGGGUCAAAACUGACGCUCAUGCACGAAAGCGUGGGGAGCAAACAGGAUUAGAUACCCUGGUAGUCCACGCCCUAAACGAUGUCUACUAGUUGUCGGGUCUUAAUUGACUUGGUAACGCAGCUAACGCGUGAAGU
rnacentral:rRNA from 1 species